ACUCCAGUGUCAAGUGGGGAGUUUGACUGGGGUGGUAAAACUGCCAAAAGCUAGUGAAGGUGUCCGAAGGCAAGCUCAGGGAGGACAGAAACCUUCCAUGGAGCAGAAGGGCAAAAAGCUCAGUGUAGCUGCAGACACGCCAAUCCUGGUGCUCAGCAUGUGUGUUUAGAU
rnacentral:ncRNA from 1 species